rnacentral:rRNA from 1 species
AAGACAUUGUGUCUUCGAGUCGUUGAUUUCACACUGCCGAGAAAAGCCUCUAGAUAGAAAAUAGGUGCCCGUACCGCAAACCGACACAGGUAGUCAAGAUGAGAAUUCUAAGGUGAGCGAGCGAACUCUCGUUAAGGAACUCGGCAAAAUGACCCCGUAACUUCGGGAGAAGGGGUGCUCUUUAGGGUUAACGCCCAGAAGAGCCGCAGUGAAUAGGCCCAAGCGACUGUUUAUCAAAAACACAGGUCUCUGCUAAACCGUAAGGUGAUGUAUAGGGGCUGACGCCUGCCCGGUGCUGGAAGGUUAAGAGGAGUGGUUAGCUUCUGCGAAGCUACGAAUCGAAGCCCCAGUAAACGGCGGCCGUAACUAUAACGGUCCUAAGGUAGCGAAAUUCCUUGUCGGGUAAGUUC